CUCCGAGCCCUCCUCUUCCUUGCUCCCUUCCUCUCCCUCCAAGCCCUCGCCCUCUUCUCCACUUGGCUGCCUCCUCCCUGCCCUGCUGCACAGAGACACUCGUAAUAAUAAUAAUGAUAACAACAACACCACAGAGAGAGACUUUAUACUGUAAGCGAGAGAGAGAGAGAACCCACACCACACACCGGAAACCGUACCUGCAGUUCCAAUAUUAUUAUAAUACCUGUUGUUCUGACUCCAAAAGGAGCACCGCACCAACCCACCACCAACCAACCCAAAAUUCUGACAGACAACCAAGCAAAGCGAGCAAAGCAAGCAACUUCUUUCUCUCCACCCCAUCGCUGGAUUGUUCCUUCCACUCUUGCCCAUCGUAUAAAACAACCUUUACCAGUAAAUAUCGGUUUAUUCCUGAAACCAGAAGCCCUAAACAUAUCUUUGAUUAUAAGAUCUUUCAGUACCAUCUAUCAGUGUCAUCUUUUGACCUUUUAUUUGCCAAAUCAGCUUCCCCUUUUGUCGCCCUGGUUGUGCAAUGUAGUUGGCAGCAACUUUAAUACGAACAAUUGAUGCUGGCCCUUCUUUGAAGCAUUCAGAAGGUGUGAGGAGAACUUCUGUUGCCACUUUGGAACACAAAUGUGUACACUCAUCUAAAGGUCAAAGAUAAAUUGUCUUUAACACUG
rnacentral:lncRNA from 1 species